CGCGAGUUAUCCACGCUUGGUCGGACUGCCUUGUCAGAGGGGGCGUUCUGCCAAUGACUCUGAAGCUUUAUUCUUGGUGGGCAAAUAAGACCAAAAGAAGUUUAAGAAUUGGGAAAGAGAUCCAGAACCCACGCGGACAAUCUAGAGGAUUGUCACAAUGACAACAAUGCCUGUUGGAUGCAUUUUCCUAUUAUUAAGCAACAAACCAAUGUAAAGAAUAGAAGACAAGUAACAUGGAUUACAAGAAACAUAGAUUGGAGCAAUAUGGCCACAAGACAGAAAGUACUGGCAUCCACUAGAAGAUGGCAAAUUCCAGGCAAAGAAUGAAUUCCUCCCAAGAGCCUCGAGAUGGAACUAUCCUUAGAUAUUGGAGCAGAAAGAUACAAUAAAAGACAAAAGGAAAGAAAUAUCACCACACAGGUA